UGGUAAGGCUUUGGCGAGAACAGGCAGAGGCAAGUUAAGUAGAGACAUUUGAAAAAGGACGUCAGGAUGUCUGGGAUGGGGCCUUGGGAUCCACCACCUGAGGCCUAGUGGUUGCUCAUUGAUGACUAUGUCAAAUUGGAUGCUGGCAGCAGUGAGACCUGGAGUGCCUGUCAAGCUAAAGGACCGCAACAGAGAAUGGACAUGAAAGCACAGAGGAACAUCUGGAGAAAUUUCUGAAACGCCAGUUCGCUGCUGUCGUUACUCUGUGGUCGGGAAUCGUUCGGAGGGUAGGCCUCAAAAUCCCCAGCCUUGCCUGCUUUUGGCGACCGAGAAGGAGGUCAAAUCGUUCGGACAGAGAUGGUGCUCAGUACUUGGUGUCGGAGAGCUGAUCAGAGCUCAAAGUUUUCCGAUGACUCAGAGUCAGAUUGUGGUUGGCAUGGCAGGGAGAGUUUUUCUUCCUUCUCCCGUCUGCGUGAGAUGUGGGACAUUUGAGAAACUUUGAACUUUACUGUGCUCAUGGACUUCUUCAUCAAGUUAUGGUAUUGUUACACUGUUUGUAACUGUAUGUUAUAAUUAUGUGGUUUUGACAGUUUUUUCAGUCUUAGUUUGUCCUGUGUUUUGUGAUAUCACA